AUUGAACGCUGGCGGCGUGCCUAAUACAUGCAAGUCGAACGCAGUGGGGACGGGUGAGUAACACGUGGGUAACCUCCCAUCAGAGGGGAUAACACUUGGAAACAGGUGCUAAACCGAUACUGAUGGAUGGACCCGCGGUGCAUUAGCUAGUUGGUGAGGUAACGGCUCACCAAGGCCACGAUGCAUAGCCGGCCGGAUAGGGUGAUCGGCCAGACUGCGAAUGAGCCACGGCCCAGACUCCUACGGGAGGCAGCAGUGGGGAAUAUUGCACCAGGGCAGCAGGCCGUAUGCAGCCAGGCCGAGUGUCUGAAGAGGGCCUUAGGGUUGUAAAGGACUUUCAGCGGGGAGGCGUUACCCGGAGAAGACGCCCCGGCUAACUCCGUGCCAGCAGCCGCGGUAAUAC
rnacentral:rRNA from 1 species